UCCUCUCUCGCUUCUAUCACGCUGAAACCAACACUACGACUCUGUCUCUGACAGUAGCAGCUCAAUUUCAAAUUCUAGAAAGGGGUAAAGCGGAUAAGGAUUAGAAUGGAAAAUAGCGGAUCUGUUCCUGGAUCGAGGCAAACGAAUUUGAAGAAAUCAUUCGAUCGCAGCUUGCGCUCCUUGUUUACUGCCUGCUCAUAUGAGGAAUUCCGUAAAGCUUUUCCGAGUUUUACUGCAUCUGAGCAGGAUCGCCUCCAUCAGCUCUUUGCUCAGGUUGUCUCUUCGUUGCAUCAAGAUAUUGAGGAACAAUUUGAGUCAAUAUUUUUCGGGACACAGGCAGGAGAAAUUCUUGAUACUGUAGAAGAGCUAGUGGAAGAACAGACUCUGGAUCCUCUACAUUCUAAGAAGAGUAAUGUAGAAGAAACGGCUAAAAAACUUUUGGAAGCAAAGAAAAAUGAGGUCAAUCAUUUGAAGGAACUAUUGGAAAAGGCAGAAAAAAGGAAAUGUGAAAUGAAAGCACGUGUUGAACAACUCAAGAAAGAAAAGCAAGACUUCUCAAGAGCUGAAAAUCUUGUAAAUGAGUUAAAGAACAACAACCUGAACUAUUUGACUGGUUACCAGACUUAGCCUAUCAACAUGUGAAUGCAAUGAACAUAUUUCUGAAGGAUUAUGCUUCACUAUCAGUGGUGCCCGGGAGGUUAAUACCUGAUUUGGUUUGGAAAAUCCAUGAAAGUAGACACUUGGAAGAGCUCUUGUUGCUGCCUACAUACGACUUCGUGGAGAUUGUGACAAACGGCGUUCGAUAUAUCUUUGAUUAAGUUUACUUUUCAUUUUCUUUAAUCAAUGGAGAUUUGGGAGUUUGACGUUCUUACAUAUGAUCAUAGUCAAACAAUCAAUCAGAUUGAGAGCAUAGUAAAGAUCUUCUGGUGAUUAAAUCAAACAAUGUGUGGUGAACAUGAACAUGUAUUUGUUCGGGACGAACAAGAAUAUAACUCGAUCAUUUUCAAAUAGACUGCAAUCUUUUCCUCUC